AUGGUUGAUGAUGACGACGACGACGAAUGUCCCUCUCCGGAGCCCCAAACAGACUACAGAUCAGCCCUCCCGGGAGAGAUUAGGGCUUGGCGGCGGCUCUGUAUCGUAAAACGCGAUGAUUUCUUCCCUCUGUUUUUUUUUCUCCCUGAAAGCCAAUAUAUGGAGUUGGAGUUGGCGUCGGAGGGCCACCAGGGGGACCAUGAGGUAGGGGGGCGCACUCAGGAGGGGGGGCGCGCCCCCCACCCUCGUGGACAGGGUGUGGGCCCCCUGGUCUUCAUCUUUGGCGAGGAUUUUUUAUUAUUUUUUCUAAGAUGUUCCGUGGAGUUUCAGGUCAUUCCGAGAACUUUUAUUUUCUGCACAAAAAACAAAAUCAUGGCAAUUCGGCUGAAAACAGCGUCAGUCCGGGUUAGUUCCAUUCAAAUCAUACAAGUUAGAGUCCAAAACAAGGGCAAAAGUGUUUGGAAAAGUAGAUACGACGGAGACGUAUCAACUCCCCCAAGCUUAAACCCUUGCUUGUCCUCAAGCAAUUCAGUUGACAGACUGAAAGAGAAAAAGAAAAACUUUUACAAACUCUGUUUGCUCUUGUUGUUGUAA
rnacentral:rRNA from 1 species